rnacentral:rRNA from 1 species
ACGGGGGGAGCAAGCGUUGUUCGGAUUUACUGGGCGUAAAGGGCGGGUAGGCGGCCACCGCAAGUCAGUUGUGAAAUCUCUGGGCUUAACCCAGAAAGGUCAACUGAUACUGCGGGGCUAGAGUGCAGAAGGGGCAACUGGAAUUCUCGGUGUAGCGGUGAAAUGCGUAGAUAUCGAGAGGAACACCUGCGGCGAAGGCGGGUUGCUGGGCUGACACUGACGCUGAACUGCGAAAGCUAGGGGAGCGAACGGGA